rnacentral:rRNA from 1 species
CUGGCGGCGUGCCUAAUACAUGCAAGUCGAACGGAAAUUAACGCUGAGGCGAGCUUGCUCAAUCUUGUAAUUUAGUGGCGGACGGGUGAGUAACGCGUGGGUAACCUGCCUUACACUGGGGGACAACAGUUGGAAACGACUGCUAAUACCGCAUAAGCGCACAGAAUCGCAUGAUUCAGUGUGAAAAACUCCGGUGGUGUAAGAUGGACCCGCGUCUGAUUAGCUAGUUGGUGAGGUAACGGCCCACCAAGGCGACGAUCAGUAGCCGGCCUGAGAGGGUGAACGGCCACAUUGGGACUGAGACACGGCCCAAACUCCUACGGGAGGCAGCAGUAGGGAAUAUUGCACAAUGGGGGAAACCCUGAUGCAAGCAACGCCGCGUGAGUGAAGAAGUAUUUCGGUAUGUAAAGCUCUAUCAGCAGGGAAGAAAAUGACGGUACCUGACUAAGAAGCCCCGGCUAACUACGUGCCAGCCGCAGC